UCAGGCCGAGGUAAAGGGGCAAUUGAUCACAUGGUUGACUUCUCACCCUUUGCAGCAAGUUUUGACUAAUGAUAUUGACUUCAAUAUCAUGCUAAGCUUUUUGGAGUUUUAUGAGGCUCUUCUUGCAUCUGUGAAUUGUCAUUUAUAUCGUUCCAAAAAUGAGAAGUAUCCACCAAUUCUUGAUCCUUGAUUGGUAGAUAGCAUCAGAAGAGAUACAAACGGUUAAAAGAAAAUCAACGUCUAGAUACCAAGCUGCAAUACUGAAUAUCAAUAAAUGGGGAGAGACACUUCCCAUUUGCUUGGAUUCGAUUGUCCCAGCAUGGUUUGCUAUCUUUGCCGCAGUCAUCCUUGUACUUGCUUUUACGGAG